rnacentral:lncRNA from 1 species
CCCAAAAUGGCCCAAACCGGGCCUUCUGGUGACGAUGGUGAUGAUGGAGGUGGAGUUGUCAUCCAGCAGGAUCACCUGUCCCACACCUGCCCAGGUAUCUCACCUGUCUCACCUUACCUAUCUCAGGUGUGUCUCUCACCUGCCCAGGUGUGUCUCAGGUGUGUUUCUCACCUGUCUCACCUGUCCCAGGUAUCUCACCUCUCCCAUACCUGCCCCAUACCUAUCUCAGGUGUGUUUCUCACCUGUCUCAGGUGUGUCUCACCUGUCCCACACCUGUCCUACGUUAACCCACGUUAAACCACACCUGCCCAGGUGUAUCUCAGGUGUGUCUCACCUGUCUCAGGUGUGUCUCACCUGUCCCACACCUGUCCUACAUUAACCCACGUUAACCCACACCUGCCCAGGUGUGCCCAGGUGUAUCUCAGGUGUGUUUCUCACCUUUCCAGGUGUGUCUGACCUGUCCCACACCUGUCCCACACUAACCCACACCUGCCCAGGUGUGCCCAGGUGUGCCCAGGUGUGCCCAGGUGUGUUUCUCACCUUCCUCAACACCCGUCACAAUGGACACGAAGUUGUCGUCCAGCAGGAUCACCUGUCCCACACCUGUCCUACGUUAACCCACACUAACCCACACCUGCCCAGGUGUGCCCAGGUGUGUUUCUCACCUGUCUCACCUGUCCCAGGUAUCUCAGCUGUCCCAUACCUAUUUCAGAUGUGUUUCUCACCUGUCUCAGGUGUGCUCACCUUCCUCUACACCCGUGACAAUCGAAGCAAAGUUGUCGUCGAGCAGGAUCACCUGUCCCACACCUGUCCCACACCUGUCCUACAUUAACCCACACUAACCCACACCUGCCCAGGUGUAUCUCAGGUGUGUCUCUCACCUGCCCAGGUGUGUCUCACCUGUCCCACACCUGUCCCACGUCAACCCACAUUAACCCACACCUGCCCAGGUGUGCCCAGGUGUGCCCAGGUGUGUUUCUCACCUGUCUCACCUGUCCCACACCUGUCCUAUGUUAACCCACGUUAACCCACACCUGCCCAGGUGUGCCCAGGUGUGUUCCUCACCUUCCUCGACACCGGUCACGAUGGAGGCGAAGUUGUCGUCCAGCAGGAUCACCUGUCCCACACCUGUCCUACGUUAACCCAUGUUAACCCACACCUGCCCAGGUGUGCCCAGGUGUGCCCAGGUGUGCCCAGGUGUGUUUCUCACCUUCCUCGACACCGGUCACGAUGGAGGCGAAGUUGUCGUCCAGCAGGAUCAUGUCGGCCGCCUGCUUGGAGACGUCGGAGCC